GAUGAAGAACGCAGCAAAAUGCGAUAAGUAAUGUGAAUUGCAGAAUUCAGUGAAUCAUCGAAUCUUUGAACGCACAUUGCGCCCGCCAGUAUUCUGGCGGGCAUGCCUGUUCGAGCGUCAUUUCAACCCUCAAGCACAGCUUGGUGUUGGGACUCGCGUUAAUUCGCGUUCCCCAAAUUGAUUGGCGGUCACGUCGAGCUUCCAUAGCGUAGUAGUAAAACCCUCGUUACUGGUAAUCGUCGCGGCCACGCCGUUAAACCCCAACUUCUGAAUGUUGACCUCGUAUCAGGUAGGAAUACCCGCUGAACUUAAGCAUAUCAAUAAGCGGAGGA
rnacentral:misc_RNA from 1 species